rfam:Hordeum vulgare subsp. vulgare, WGS project CAJW01000000 data, contig: morex_contig_1567717
AUAAUACUCUCUCCGUCCCAAAAUUCUUGUCUUAAGUUGUUUAGAAAUGGAUGUAUCAAAAUACUAAAAUGUGAUUAGAUACAUUCAUAUCUAGACACAUCUAAGACAAGAAUUUUGGGACUGAGGGAGUAAUAA